AUUGAACGCUGGCGGCAGGCUUAACACAUGCAAGUCGAACGAGUGGCGGACGGGUGAGUAAUGUCUGGGAAACUGCCUGAUGGAGGGGGAUCACUACUGGAAACGGUAGCUAAUACCGCAUACCAUCGGAUGUGCCCAGCUGGGAUUAGCUAGUUGGUGGGGUAAAGGCUCACCUAGGCGACGAUCCCUAGCUGGUCUGAGAGGAUGACCAGCCACACUGGAACGGAGAAACGGUCCAGACUCCUACGGUAGGCAGCAGUGGGGAAUAUUGCACAAUUGGCGCAAGCCUGAUGCAGCCAUGCCGCGUGUAUGAAGAAGGCCUUCGGGUUGUAAAGUACUUUCAGCGGGGAAGCGUUACCCGCAGAAGAAGCACCGGCUAACGCCGUGCCAGCCGCCGCGGUAAUAC
rnacentral:rRNA from 1 species